GACGAACGCUGGCGGCGUGCUUAACACAUGCAAGUCGAACGGAAAGGCCCUGCUUUUGUGGGGUGCUCGAGUGGCGAACGGGUGAGUAACACGUGAGUAACCUGCCCUUGACUUUGGGAUAACUUCAGGAAACUGGGGCUAAUACCGGAUAGGAGCUCCUGCUGCAUGGUGGGGGUUGGAAAGUUUCGGCGGUUGGGGAUGGACUCGCGGCUUAUCAGCUUGUUGGUGGGGUAGUGGCUUACCAAGGCUUUGACGGGUAGCCGGCCUGAGAGGGUGACCGGCCACAUUGGGACUGAGAUACGGCCCAGACUCCUACGGGAGGCAGCAGUGGGGAAUAUUGCACAAUGGGCGGAAGCCUGAUGCAGCGACGCCGCGUGCGGGAUGACGGCCUUCGGGUUGUGAACCGCUUUCGCCUGUGACGCAGCGUGAGUGACGGUAAUGGGUAAAGAAGCACCGGCUAACUACGUG
rnacentral:rRNA from 1 species